UACGUAGGGGGCAAGCGUUGUCCGGAUUUAUUGGGCGUAAAGAGCGUGUAGGCGGCUUUACAGGUCCGUUGUGAAAACUCGAGGCUCAACCUCGAGACGCCGGUGGAAACCGUAAAGCUAGAGUCCGGAAGAGGAGAGUGGAAUUCCUGGUGUAGCGGUGAAAUGCGCAGAUAUCAGGAGGAACACCCGUGGCGAAAGCGGCUCUCCGGGACGGUACUGACGCUGAGACGCGAAAGCGUGGGGAGCAAACAGG
rnacentral:rRNA from 1 species